rnacentral:rRNA from 1 species
GAUGAACGCUGGCGGCGUGCCUAAUACAUGCAAGUCGAGCGAACGGACGAGAAGCUUGCUUCUCUGAUGUUAGCGGCGGACGGGUGAGUAACACGUGGAUAACCUACCUAUAAGACUGGGAUAACUUCGGGAAACCGGAGCUAAUACCGGAUAAUAUUUUGAACCGCAUGGUUCAAAAGUGAAAGACGGUCUUGCUGUCACUUAUAGAUGGAUCCGCGCUGCAUUAGCUAGUUGGUAAGGUAACGGCUUACCAAGGCAACGAUGCAUAGCCGACCUGAGAGGGUGAUCGGCCACACUGGAACUGAGACACGGUCCAGACUCCUACGGGAGGCAGCAGUAGGGAAUCUUCCGCAAUGGGCGAAAGCCUGACGGAGCAACGCCGCGUGAGUGAUGAAGGUCUUCGGAUCGUAAAACUCUGUUAUUAGGGAAGAACAUAUGUGUAAGUAACUGUGCACAUCUUGACGGUACCUAAUCAGAAAGCCACGGCUAACUACGUGCCAGCAGCCGCGGUAAUACGUAGGUGGCAAGCGUUAUCCGGAAUUAUUGGGCGUAAAGCGCGCGUAGGCGGUUUUUUAAGUCUGAUGUGAAAGCCCACGGCUCAACCGUGGAGGGUCAUUGGAAACUGGAAAACUUGAGUGCAGAAGAGGAAAGUGGAAUUCUAUGUGUAGCGGUGAAAUGCGCAGAGAUAUGGAGGAACACCAGUGGCGAAGGCGACUUUCUGGUCUGUAACUGACGCUGAUGUGCGAAAGCGUGGGGAUCAAACAGGAUUAGAUACCCUGGUAGUCCACGCCGUAAACGAUGAGUGCUAAGUGUUAGGGGGUUUCCGCCCCUUAGUGCUGCAGCUAACGCAUUAAGCACUCCGCCUGGGGAGUACGACCGCAAGGUUGAAACUCAAAGGAAUUGACGGGGACCCGCACAAGCGGUGGAGCAUGUGGUUUAAUUCGAAGCAACGCGAAGAACCUUACCAAAUCUUGACAUCCUCUGACCCCUCUAGAGAUAGAGUUUUCCCCUUCGGGGGACGGAGUGACAGGUGGUGCAUGGUUGUCGUCAGCUCGUGUCGUGAGAUGUUGGGUUAAGUCCCGCAACGAGCGCAACCCUUAAGCUUAGUUGCCAUCAUUAAGUUGGGCACUCUAAGUUGACUGCCGGUGACAAACCGGAGGAAGGUGGGGAUGACGUCAAAUCAUCAUGCCCCUUAUGAUUUGGGCUACACACGUGCUACAAUGGACAAUACAAAGGGUAGCGAAACCGCGAGGUCAAGCAAAUCCCAUAAAGUUGUUCUCAGUUCGGAUUGUAGUCUGCAACUCGACUACAUGAAGCUGGAAUCGCUAGUAAUCGUAGAUCAGCAUGCUACGGUGAAUACGUUCCCGGGUCU